ACGACAGGACAGCGGAGUCACUCACCACCUUCCGGAGACAUUUGAAACCCCACCUCUUUAAGGAAUACCGACGUAUAAAGUAAGAAUGUCAACAGAAAUGAUCAGAAUUGUUUGUGUUUACUUCUCAGACCACCUCCUACUCCCACCCGGGACAUUCCACGGUACCUUGUGGAUGAGGAUUGCUUCUUGGGACUGUUCCAGGACUGACCCAUUUGCACAAGGGUGUGCAACAUCUCUACAUUGUUGUCUGUGGAGCAGAAAUGUGCCAACUGCUCAUGCUACAGACAGUGGAAGAGCCAGCCCCUCUCUGGCUGGAAACCUCCACCUAUCUGCUGACAUAUACUUCUCAGGAGCAUCUUUUGUAUUGAUAAAGAAGCCAGGUUAAAGGCAGAAACAGGGAUCUGUUCUGAUGGCAGGUUAAAGGCAGAAACAGGGAUAUGUUCUGAUGGCAGUUUAAAGGCAGAAACAGGGAUAUGCUCUGAUAGCAGGUUAAAGGCAGAAACAGGGAUCUGUUCUGAUGGCAGGUUAAAGGCAGAAACAGGGAUCUGUUCUGAUGGCAGGUUAAAGGCAGAAACAGGGAUCUGUUCUGAUGGCAGGUUAAAGGCAGAAACAGGGAUCUGUUCUGAUGGCAGUUUAAAGGCAGAAACAGGGAUCUGUUCUGAUGGCAGGUUAAAGGCAAAAACAGGGAUCUGUUCUGAUGGCAGUUUAAAGGCAGAAACAGGGAUCUGUUCUGAUGGCAGGUUAAAGGCAGAAACAGGGAUAUGUUCUGAUGGCAGUUUAAAGGCAGAAACAGGGAUAUGUUCUGAUGGCAGGUUAAAGGCAGAAACAGGGAUAUGCUCAAUUAUAAUCAUGUAUAGUUUGCUAUGGAAUGCAUAUUCAGCCGAAAUCAUAUCUAGCCAAGAUGAUAGCUAGCUAGCUAUAACGUUAGCUUAUUGAUUGCGAUCUAGUAUAGCUUAUUUGUUGAGAUAUAACGUCAAAUCUAACUAUUAGCCAUCUAACAAGCUAAUAAGGAAUGCAUUAUGUAUCAGCUUUAACAAUAACAUCACAACUUAUUUUCA